rnacentral:rRNA from 1 species
UACAGAGGGGGCAAGCGUUAUUCGGAAUUAUUGGGCGUAAAGGGCGCGUAGGCGGCUUUGCAAGUGACGGGUGAAAUCCCUCGGCUUAACCGAGGAACUGCCUGUCAAACUGCAUGGCUUGAGACCGGGAGAGGUGAGUGGAAUUCCCAGUGUAGCGGUGAAAUGCGUAGAUAUUGUGAGGAACACUAGUGGCGAAGGCGAGUCUCUGGACAGUUCCUGACGCUGAGGCACGAAGGCCAGGGGAGCAAACGGG